GACGGCCAUAUCUCGUUGAAACGUCAGUUCUCGUCCAAUCACCAAAGUUAAGCAGCGUUAAGCUUGCUCGCUACUUAGAUGGGUGAUUCUUUGGGAGUACCAGUUGCUGUAA